UCCGGGAUUCCCUCAGUAGCGGCGAGCGAAGCGGGAAAAGCCCAUCGCCGAAUCCCCCGUCGGACCUCGGCGGUUUGGGAACUGUGGCGUAAGGGUCCGACUCGUCGGGCGUCUGACCGUCCGAACAAGUCCCGCGGGACAGGUGUGCUCCCAGAGUGGGUGUGAGGCCUUUAGUUCGGUCUGGGUCUUCUGCUCGGCGCAGUCGGUACCUGAGAGUCGAGUUGCUUGGGAUCGCAGCUCAAAGUGGGUGGUAAGCUCCAUCUAAGGCUAAAUACUUGCACGAGUCCGAUAGCGAACAAGUACCGUGAGGGAAAGUUGAAAAGAACUUUGAAGAGAGAGUUCAAGAGACCGUGAAAGCGCCUACGGGCAAACGGGUGGAACCGCCGGUGCGAUCAGUGGAAUCCAGCUCGUCGGGCAGGCGGCUCGUGGUGGCGGCGUAGACUUGUCCUUUUCGGAGGACGGGCUCGUCGUUGUCAGAGGGUUCGUCCCCGUCGGCGUAUCUUCCGCUGUGUCGCGAGUCGCGACCGGCUCGAAGUGCUUCGUUUCGGUUGGUGUCAGGCGAGGAGCGCGCUCACGCGUUGCAUCUGUCUCCGGACUGCCUGCGCUGGCCGGUAUCACAGCGAACGUAGCUUCGGGCCGAGGAACGGCCCCGUUCUCGCUCCCGACUCAGUCUCCCGGCGACGUCGCGGCUGUCUUGACUGCCUCUCUGAGGCUUAACAGUGCAAGUGCGGUCGCUCGGUCGGCGUCGGCGAGGCGGCGGGCAUUGGAGGACGGUUUAGAGGGUCCGCGGCUGGCCGUGGCGGCACUCUUCCCGACCCGUCUUGAAACACGGACCAAGGAGUCUAACGUGAGCGCGAGUCACAGGGAAAAACACUCCCUUGGGGCGCAGCGAAAGCGAUGUGGUCCGAUCCUCUCUCGGGUGAGGGGGGCGCAGGACCGGCCCGUCGGGGGUUGUUACGGCCUCGGCGGAGCAAGAGCGCUCGCGUUGGGACCCGAAAGAUGGUGAACUAGGCCCGAGCGGGACGAAGCCGGGAGAAAUGCUGGUGGAGGUCCUAAGUGGUUCUGACGCGCAAAUCGAUCACGGAACUUGGGCGUAGGGGCGAAAGACUAAUCGAACCAUCUAGUAGCUGGUUCCCUCCGAAGUUUCCCCCAGGAUAGCUGGCGCUCGCCGAGACAGUUUCGUCCGGUAAAGCGAAUGAUUAGAGGAGUCCGUGCCGAAAUGGCGUGGAGCUAUUGUCAAACUUUGAACGGGCGAGAAGGGGUGCCUACCGCUCGAUCUGGGAGGCUCGGCCCCCGUCGAAAUGUACGAGUGCCAAGUGGGCCACUUUUGGUAAGCAGAACUGGCGCUGUGGGAUGAACCAAACGCCGGGUUAAGGCGCCCGAUUGUCACGCUCAGCAGAACCCACAAAAGGCGUCCAUCGGUAAAGACAGCAGGACGAUGACCAUGGAAGUUGGUAUCCGCCAAGGAGUGUGUAACAACUCACCUGCCGAAUUGGUGGGCCCUGAAAAUGGAUGGCGCUGAAGCGUGCAGCCUACACCCGGCCGUCUCGGCAGAUUUUCUCCGGCCUGUCGGUAGAGACUGACCGAAGCCGAGACGAGUAGGAGGGUCGCCGCGGUCAGCGCUGAAGCCUUAGACGCGAGUCUGGGUGUAGCGGCCGCGGAUGCCSAUCUUGGUGGUAGUAGCAAAUAUUCGAGCGAGAACCUCGAAGGCCGAAGUGGAGAAGGGUUCCGCGUUCUCCUUCCGAUCGGCCGCGGGUUAGUCGGUCCUAAGGCCUGGGAGAAAUCCUACGGGAAGCGGGACGUUUCUUACUAUUUAGAAAUUAGUCUCACCAAAUGCACGGGCCGAAAGGGAAACGGGUUAGUAUUCCCGUACCCGAAGGCGGAGCACAAGCGGCGACGCAAGGAAGGUCGGAUACACCGUGGGGAGAGUCGAGAAGAGUUAACUUUUCUUUUUGAUGUGCGCUCGCUGACCAUGGAAGCGGUUAUGCCGGAGAUAGGGAGCGAGAGCAAAAUUACCUUUAUCCGCAAAGCCGGCUCCAUCGGGGGCCUGUUCGGCUACGACUCGACGGUCCUUGAAACUCCGACGGCUAAACCAUGAUAAAAGAAAUUAUGCUCGCAUCUCGCCUCGGGCCGUUCCGUAAUCCGCCGCAGGUGUCAAAG
rnacentral:rRNA from 1 species